AACGAACGCUGGCGGCAGGCCUAAUACAUGCAAGUCGGACGGAUGUAGCAAUACAUUAGUGGCGCACGGGUGCGGAACACGUGGGAACAUACCCUUUGGUAAGGAAUAAUGUCUGGAAACGGACACUAAUACCUUAUAAUGACUUCGGUCCAAAGAUUUAUCGCCAAAGGAUUGGCCCGCGUCUGAUUAGGUAGUUGGUGGGGUAAUGGCCUACCAAGCCUACGAUCAGUAGCUGGUCUGAGAGGAUGAUCAGCCACACUGGAACUGAGACACGGUCCAGACUCCUACGGGAGGCAGCAGUAAGGAAUAUUGGACAAUGGGCGCAAGCCUGAUCCAGCCAUGCCGCGUGAGUGAAGAAGGCCUUAGGGUUGUAAAGCUCUUUCAAUAGUGAAGAUAAUGACGGUAGCUAUAGAAGAAGCCCCGGCUAAAUUCGUGCCAGCAGCCGCCGUAA
rnacentral:rRNA from 1 species